GAGGUCUCUUUCUGGUUCUGGUGCUGGUCCAAAUGCAGCAGCUGCUUCUCAGUUUGUGAGGGCUGAAAUGCUUCCCAGUGGCUAUUUGAUAAGGCCAUGUGAAGGUGGAGGGUCAAUUAUCCACAUAGUGGAUCACCUGAAUCUUGAGGCAUGGAGUGUUCCUGAGGUGCUGCGACCUCUUUAUGAAUCAUCAAAAGUAGUGGCCCAGAAAAUGACAAUUGCGGCACUGCGUUACAUCAGGCAAAUAGCUCAAGAGACUAG
rnacentral:misc_RNA from 1 species